GACGAACGCUGGCGGCGUGCUUAACACAUGCAAGUCGAACGGAAAGGCCCCUUUUAGGGUACUCCAGUGGCGAACGGGUUAGUAACACGUGAUUAACCUCCCCUUGACUUCGGGAAAACUUCAGGAAAACGGGGCUAAUACCGGAUAGCAAACCUUGCUGCAUGGUGGGGGUUGGAAAGCUGCGGCGGUUUUGUAUGGACUUGCGGCUGAGCAGAUUCUUGGUGGGGUAGGUGCUUACCAAGGCUUUGACGGGUAGCCGGGCUGGGUGGGCGACCGGGCACAGUGGGACUGGGACAGAGACCCGACUCCGACGGGUGGGGGAAGUGGGGGAGAUGGCACAAGGGGAGUAGGCCUGAUGCAGCAACGGCGCGGGCGGGAGGAUGGCCUACGCGUUGGAAUCGUAUUGCAGCAGGGGCGGAGAUUGUGGUGACGGUACCUGCAGAAGAAGCACCGGCUAACUACGUG
rnacentral:rRNA from 1 species